GUCCUUUUGUAUAUAAUUUAAGGUCUAGCCUGCCCACUGAAAUUUUAAAUGGCCGUGGUAUUUUGACCGUGCUAAGGUAGCAUAAUCAUUAGUUUUUUAAUUAAAAACUGGAAUGAAAGGUUGGAUGAGAAAAUAGCUGUCUCUAUUAAAUUUAAUUAGAAUUUUAUUUUUAAGUUAAAAAGCUUAACUAUUAUUAAAAGACGAGAAGACCCUAUAGAGUUUAAUUAUUUAGUAAAAAUUAUAUUUUAGUAUUAAUUUAUUUAUUUUAUUAAAUAAUUUAAUUGGGGUGAUUGAAAAAUUUAAUUAACUUUUUUUAUUUAAGAACAUUAAUUUAUGAAUAAAUGAUCCAAUAUUUUUGAUUAUAAGAUAAAAUUACCUUAGGGAUAACAGCGUAAUUUUUUUAGAAAGUUCAUAUUAAAAAAAAAGAUUGCGA
rnacentral:rRNA from 1 species